rnacentral:rRNA from 1 species
GAUGAACGCUAGCGGCAGGCUUAACACAUGCAAGUCGAGGGGCAGCGCGAUGUAGCAAUACAUUGGCGGCGACCGGCGCACGGGUGCGUAACACGUAUGGAACUUACCCUUUACUGGGAGAUAGCCCGGAGAAAUCCGGAUUAAUAUCCCAUAAUAAACGAAGUGGCAUCACUUUGUUUUGAAAGCUCCGGCGGUAAAGGAUGGCCAUGCGCACGAUUAGCUAGUAGGUGAGGUAACGGCUCACCUAGGCUACGAUCGUUAGGGGCCUGAGAGGGUUAUCCCCCACACUGGUACUGAGACACGGACCAGACUCCUACGGGAGGCAGCAGUGAGGAAUAUUGCGCAAUGGAGGCAACUCUGACGCAGCCAUGCCGCGUGCAGGAAGAAGGCGCUACGCGUUGUAAACUGCUUUUAACCGGGAAGAAACCCUCCGACGUGUCGGAGGUUGACGGUACCGGAGGAAUAAGCACCGGCUAACUUCGUGCCAGCAGCCGCGGU